AACCAAGGUGUUCCUUGCCACAUUACCAGAAAAAUAUUUAUAUUUUAACAUAGCAUCACUACUACUUGUUAGGACGUUUCAUCAGAUGAGUGACUUAAACCUUGUGUUAGCAGUAUCGACACCCAGGAAACCAACUGUGUAUGAAAAGAAAGAAGUGAAAAUGCAAGGGCGUCCUGUGGUCCUUCAGUCUUUCAGCUACUUUCCAUGUAUACAAGUCAACUGGCACUUACCAGAAAAACCUGCAAACUGGACACCAUAGAUGGAACACCUGUCUGUGCCCUGUCAGAUUUAGUCUCAUGCUGUGAGUGAGCAUUUUCAACAAAGACAUUCGGAAGAGGAACGUGAAGGAAGAGCUACAAUCAGUGGCAUUGCUGAAGGAACGACUGUAUAGGAUGUGGCAGGUAAAAAGACAAUCUUAAAAAGUCUUUGUUAAAUCCUUUUUUGUGAAAUUGUGUAUGGAUUUUUUCAUGUAGUUAUCCUGUUUUGUUAUGGAGCUAAAAGAAGCCCCUUUGCUAAUUGUCUAUUUUGCUACAACUGUUUUUGUAUAUUCUUCUCCCUGAUUUUCAUUUUCUUGCAGAAAAAUGAACAGUAUUAGGAAGUAAAUUAACAUUGGAUAAACAUGCUCUUUAUUUUGUAUUUUAGCGGGAUCUUUUUAGUUUAAUCUUGCCUAGAAAGAUAGCUCUUUUAAACUGAAUGAAUUGCACUAUGUAUAGAUACUACUUUCAAAUGUUUAUGAAAAGUUGAAGGGAACACACCUAGAAGGCCAGAAUUCUACACAGUCUGAAGUGAUGUGACUAAUUUGAGAGCAUAAUUAAUGUCACUGUAUGUACAAAUUAUAUGAGUUGCUGCCUAACUGACCAUUACUUUUACAAAUUUUUAAUCUAGGUACACAACUGCAGUCGGUGCACAGGUUAAUUGAAUGCUAUUGAAAAUCUGACUUGAUGUAAAGGUUAUAUUAAAAAAUAUGCUGAAAAAUUAUUAAUUGAACAGUGUUAUAUGCAAGAUGAUACACAUUUUAUAGUAGGCCUUUGAAGUGAUAUGAUAUUAGUUAAUCAGUCAUUUUUAUUUUGCUUGCUUGAUACAUCUGUUUGUUAGUAUGUAAAGACUGAUUGUUCUUAAAACUUGUAAAAUAAUCAUAAGAGAAGAGUAUUGGGCCUGUGAAUCCAUUUUAUAUAGUAGUCUAUCAAGAAGGUAAGAAAAAAUAAAUAUUUGAGGUGCAUUAAUUUAAAGAUUCA
rnacentral:lncRNA from 1 species